rnacentral:rRNA from 1 species
GAUGAACGCUGGCGGCGUGCCUAACACAUGCAAGUCGAGCGAUUUACUUCGGUAAAGAGCGGCGGACGGGUGAGUAACGCGUGGGUAACCUGCCCUGUACACACGGAUAACAUACCGAAAGGUAUGCUAAUACGAGAUAAUAUGCUUUUAUCGCAUGGUAUAAGUAUCAAAGUUUUUGCGGUACAGGAUGGACCCGCGUCUGAUUAGCUAGUUGGUAAGGUAACGGCUUACCAAGGCGACGAUCAGUAGCCGACCUGAGAGGGUGAUCGGCCACAUUGGAACUGAGACACGGUCCAAACUCCUACGGGAGCAGCAGUGAGGAAUAUUGGUCAAUGGACGCAAGUCUGAACCAGCCAUGCCGCGUGCAGGAAGACGGCUCUAUGAGUUGUAAACUG